CUCCAUUUUACUUUAUCCCUUAUUCUCUCUCUUUCCCCUUGUCCUGCCUUUUUACUCCUCAGAUUUUAAUAAAUAUUUACUUUUUUAUUAUAUAUUUGGUCCCUCAGGACUAUGUAGUGAUUAUAAAUUGAUUUCAUUUUAGGUAAAAAUAUAUAGUGUGUUUAAUAUUUUGUUCUUUUAAACUGUCUUUUGAAGCUAUGCUGUUAACCAGGUACAGGCCAGAAAGGAGUUAAGCCUGAUGAACAGCACCCUGGUCAUGUUACCUAAGGAUGCCAUUGAUGUAAUGAUGGUGAUUCUUCUUCAUUUGACCAAGGCCAGCCUCCUCUUCUUACCCUCUGUCCAGUCAUUUCUGGCUGUCGGAAAAACACCAGCUGUCGGGUGAGCCAGUGAGGCCAGGAUGAUCAGGGGGGCUGGGUCCAGCCCAAGGACCAUUCUAUGAAUAUCUCUGUAGUGAGCUCAUUUGUAGAGCUGGCUUCAACUGCAGUAGCCAAAGAAAACCUGUCUGACUCAAAAUUUUAGUUCCUGAGAGUUGGUAAAAGUUCAAAUGAAGCUAAUGUGUAUAGACAUCAGCAGUAGCCUAGGUGUAUCCAGACACUAGAAUCAACCAAAGCUAAUAGAGCCUGAGUUUCCAUAGGAAGCUUGGUGCUGAGCUGUUCAGAGCAAUUAUUUAUCUGAGUGCUGCCAAUGCUUUAGUCACACUUUCUUAGCUUUAUUGUAACUUUUAGAGAUGUUGGUCCCUGUUCAUAGGCACAGCCUGUACCAAAGCUAUGGCUUACUGCACACUUCAUUCUGCUCCCUGGUGAAGCAUAGCAACAUAGUUUUAAAGGAAAGAUGUGAGCUGGGGAGUUAGGAGACCUAGUUUCUAUUCCCUAUGCUUCUACUAACUAGCCUCGAGAUCUUAACCGCUCUGUGCCUCAGUGUUCCCAUCUGCAAAAUGGGGAUAGUGUUAAUUGCCCUACCUACCUCACAGGGUUGUUGUGAGGAUAAACUGAGACAAUGAAAGGAAAGUACUUUGACAAGUAAGUGCUAUGCAAAUUGUAAGAAAUGGAAACAAUCAUGUUACAGGCAAUGGAAUGGACUUUGGCAGAAGGGUUAAUGGGAUUGUCCAGCCCUUUCUCUGUGUGGCUUAAACCCAAGUCGCCAUUGCUUUAUACAUUUUUCACUUAGCACAGAUUUGUAAUUAUGCAUGUAAUAAAGCACAGCCUUAUCCAACUUGG
ensembl:lncRNA